CACAGCGGGCACAGCUGGGCACAGCUGGACACAGAGCUGUGGCUCUUAAGCUGAGCCUUGCCAUGAGCUCGGCUUAGCGAGGCCAGCCUGGGUCGGGGAUAGGGCCGUGCCCUGCAGCGCUGCCCUUCCCCUGGCCCUGCAGCAUCAUCCUCUGGACUGAAACCCCUCCUGGGCAUGGCCUCAGCUCAGAGCUCAGUCCUGUCCCACUAAUAAAUCUCCAGGCCUUCCUCUGCCCACUGUACCUGUUUUCACAAUCAGAUUUUGAAUUUUUUUUUUUUUUUUUUUUUUACUUCAAUAGGUGACAUUUUAACUUAAAACCUAACAAUUCUGUAGGUGCUGAAAGCAGCUGGUUGUGUCUGUUCAUCCUUUCUUCCCCAUUAGAAAUUGAGAUUAUGGUUAAAGAGGUACCUUCUGGUAUAGUUUUCUCAUAAAGUCUUAAAAGUGCUUUUGACUUGUGUCAGGGAAAGUAAAGUUUUGGGGCAUCCAGAAUUUCCUUUAUUCAUGUUGAUUUCAUUGCAAUGUCACAAAUUUAAAAUAGAGGUUCUGGAUGAAACUUCGUUUCUCCAAAAUAGUUCCUGGAAAAUAGUAUAAGCUCUCCUCCAGUUAAAUCGCAUAAAAAGAGAAAAGAACUUCAAGUGCGAUUGAAAUUUAUCAUUUUUUCUUCUACAUUGGGGCAGACAGUUCCAUUUCUGUAAAUGGCGGGGGGGGGGGGAACUUUUAAAGACAUUUUAUGGUUCAAAUUCUGUGUUAUUAACUGAAGUCCAUAUGGCAAGAAAAAAAAAAAAACAACAAGUAUUAUAUACCAUAUAUUUUAUCUGUCCUACUGCAAAGCAAAAAAGGAUAAAAAAUUGGUAUAUGAAUGUAGAGCUGACCCUACAGCUUUGCAGCUAGACUGGUGGGUCUCAACUCUGAGUUAUCCUAGGGAGCACAGUGGGAUGACUUAAAACAGGAAUUGCAAUUGAGAUAAAAACUGUGGGAAUUGGAAGUCCAGGGUCCCCUGACUUCAGACAGUGGUAGAACCAAAUCCAGCUUUUAAAGUGCAGUGAAAGCCACUGGAAGAGCUUAAUAAGAACAGACAUCAGAAAAUUGCAACAAGAACCCAUCUGGUUUGUGUGUAUUCUGUUUAUACAGAAUGUUUUAAGUAAGAAAAUCCCUUAUUUGAUAGUAAAUUUAUGGAUAUUACUUACACUUAACCUUCUGUUCAGAGCACCCUAAGAGAUGAAUAUAGUGGUCAGUUUAAAAUUUCUGUGUAAGUUAGUCCAGCAACAAAGCAAUAUUCACUGUUAAAUCAAUGGGUAAAUGGAAGGGCUGUGUGGGGAGGAGGGGAAUAAUUUCUAAUCCAUUUCAGUCCCCAGGUCUCCAGCCUGUGGUUUCUAGAGACAGACACCACGUUUCCUGACUCAGAGCAGUUAUCAGUUUGUGAUCUGGGGAUUUCCAGGGAGUUUAAGGACAGUUUCUAAGGACACUGCUAAAAGAACAGUUAAAUGCUAUUGUAGAUCGAACUUCAGAGUUAUAUUUGCAUUGUAAAAUAUUUCUGUAAGCAGUGUGUAGGAGAGUGUUGGUGAAGGGAUGUGCAUGCUCAGGGAGAAACAGGAGCUCCAUCAAUUCAGGAGCUGAGAAGUAUUCACAGGGCACCUGGCUCCUGGCCAGUGGGAACAGCAGCUCUUCCCUUUGCCCUGGCUGAAUACAUUCCAGCUUGGAACCUGGGCCUGGGUGGCUGCUCUGAUGAAGGUGAUUUGCACAAGGGCAGAAUUGGCUUCAAGGGCUUCUUAGGAGCAGGGAGAAGGAAAACACCUUUUGUUCCUUCCUGCAGAACUACUGUUUAAUAAGUAAGUUGGAUUCUUUGGGCAUUUCUUGUGGCAUAGCUGGAUAUGGUUUUGCACUGUGUAAAUUUGUACUUGUGUUUCUUUCCUAAAGUGAACCUGAACUUCCCAUGAGAUCUGCCCAAAUUCCAAGGAUGUUUAAAAGAUGACAUUGAGUAUUCUUUGAGCUCUAAUGCAAGAACAUUGCAUAGUACAGCUUCAGAAAGUUAAUAUGAACACAAGAGAGUGCUUCCUCUGUAAACUGCUGUUUCCUAUUUGGAAGCUGGGAAAAGCAAACCGUAUAACUUAUUCUAAAAUACAGUUUUUACUGAUCCCCUGGUUUUCUGCAUGGCAUGUUCAGAAUGUCAAUGCAUAUAAAAACCAGACACUUUCCUGUGUUCCUGAGAGACCACUGCUUACAAAAGGACAGCAGUAGGCCAAGGGGAUUGUAAUUAUGUGUUGACCUCUCACUUCCUGAGAGAACUCAAUGAAAUUCAAAAUAAUUGACCAGUGCCCUGGUACGUAUUGGUCUCUCCCUUUGGGAUUAAUAAGCUCAGGGAUCUUUGGCCUCUGAGGUGCCUGACCUUGGUGGGACACACACAGAGGCACCAUUUGGAUCAGCAUGAAGAAGGAUCAAAGCUGAGAGGGAGCAGUGGUGGUCACUGCCCCACAUGGCACUGAGACAUCUUGGUUCUUUGCCUCUUAUGGGCUCCAUGGACUUCAAACCUUUGUCAUUCCUGUGCCACAGAAGAGCUGUUGCCAUGAGAUUACAAAUUUGCCAGUGGCUAGGGAAAAAAACAAACAAAUCAAGGAAGCUGAAGAGAAUGAGGGAGAAAAACUUCAUAGUGUGAUGGAGAGGCCAUCCAUGCAAGGUUUGAGAUUCACUUCAGGGCUGGUGAUACUUGGUGCAUUCUUAGAGGAUAAAAUCCAUAAGUACUUUUCCCCCAGUAAAGCUGAUUAGUGUUCAUGCAACCCUUGGCUCUUUCCAGUUCCAGCACUAACUCAGCUCUUCACUCAGUGCAGUGCAGGCUUAUCCUUAAACCAGACAGGUUAAUCCCAGGUCUGAAAUGUCUUUGCAAGUCCAUGUGUUAGACCAGAGGUGAUUGGAUUUUUGAGAAAACUCUUCAGUCUCUACUGUUGGUUGGCUGAAGUGUCCCACCACUCUCCAUGCGCUCUGUUGUCACACCUGCUUUUAGGAGCCUGACUUUUCUGAGUGAAUCAUGCAGAAAGCUCUUUCCCAGGUGUGAGCUGGGUGAUCCCAAGUGGGAGCAGGGGUGAAGACCCUCCCUAUCCCACACAGAGCUGUCCUCACCUGAGUCUAGCCCACUGAGUACUUUUAUCAGCAUCUCUCCUGCUGGUAGAGUAAAAUCAGUCAAUUAUUUCUGCAGGAAUUAAAUUAUGGCUGCAUUGUAUAUCACAUAGUGAGGUGUGGGUUUUGCAAUUGUCUAAAAAUACAUUUAAAUGCAAUAUUUUACCGAAAAGCUAAUUUAUACUGAGACAUGACAGAGGUAGUUCUGUAAGCUCUGAUAUUAAUAACAAUAUUAUCUUCUUAUUCACAUCUCACUUGAGGGACCCCAGUAUCUAAUGUGGUUCAGAUUCAAAACAGUUUUUCUUUUCCAUGUCUUUAUUUAUCAGAACUCACUCUGUUGUCCUGAGAAGGUGUGUUACAUCAGUGUUUUCCCUUCAAACUGCCUGUUUUGUGAAUUUUUAGGAUCUGGAUUUGUGUGCUCAAAUCAAUCAAGAGACUGUGGGUGGAACAAAAGGAAAAGACAAAAAAUGAGAGUGUGUUUCAAGAAAAAUCUGGUUUUGUGUUUCAUUUUCUUGAUGGAAAAACUGAUUAAAAUUGCCUGUUCAUUAUGUUUCCCUAAUUUGAGAUUUAAAUGGUGUUUGGGGUUUGGCUUUUUUUGUGUUUGUUCUGUAUUUCACUAAGAACACAGGCAAUUUUAUUGUUUUAAUGCUUAGGAGGCUCUGAACAUUGGACAAGUAGACUUUUUAUUCUUUCCAAAGCCUCCAUCUGAAACUGUGCUUUUCAAGCUCAAAAAUAUGCUUUUAUCCUUGGAAUGACUUUGGUAAUCACAUGACUUCUUUUCCUCCCCAUGAAAUUGUUUUAUUAUGUGAAUGAAUGUGAAUAUGCACAACCAAUGAAGUUCCUAAGCUGCAGGAAAGUGGCUUUGUUUUGUUUAGGUUUUUGUUGCCCAUUUAUGUUCCCUGCUGGGGGUUGUACAGCAGAAAGGUUUAUUUACUCUGGACAGUUUUCAAACACAGACAUCUCUGACAACAAGAGUUUAGCAAGUGUAAUUCUCUUUCAUAAAUUCCUUUCUUUCAGAAGAUGCACACCAUUUAUUACAGUUGUCAUGAAAAGUCAACUUUUAAAAUAGUUUGAUUAAUUAUUGAGGACUUGUAACCUUAUAAAAUCCUUGACACCAAAAUGCAGAAACAUUACUUGAUCCAGCAAGGAAAAUGCAAGUGGCAAAUAACUCCUACUUUGCACCCCAAAUCAAGCUGUACUAAUCUCAUGACAGAUCACAUUUUACACAGCUUUUAUCUGAAGAACCCCAGAGGUUUUGCCAUCUGAAAUAUUCACCUGUAAGGUGAAUUGAUGUUUAUCACCUCAAAGUCUUAUAUUAGGAAGACACCAUGACCAAUACUUAGUUAGCCUAAAACUGGUAGCGACUCUAAUCAGCUGAGUGUAACCUUGCUAACCACUGCUUAAGGGGAAACCAAAAUGCCAGAAUUCUGCUCUGGGCUUACCAACUAACUGGUAUUCAAUUAAUCUUAGGAUUAAAAUUAAAGAAAUCUGAGUAGUCAUUUUAAAUAUUACACUUCUGACAAAUUUCUCUCAAAUCCAUUUAAAAAAACCUACAGCCUGAUUUUUGAAAAGAGUUUAGGAGCUCUCUAAAAUGGCAGUGUAUAAUUGAAAUUCCAGUGAUGUGCCAUCAGAUUUGAAGUAGCACAUUGUCUUCUGUCUGAUAACACACAGUGAUACCGAGCCAGCCCUGAGGAAAUCCACUCUCUGAUAAAGCUCCAAGGGAAUAAAAAGAAGAGGCAUCACUUGGGUCAAGAGUCCAAGCCAUUCCUAUCAUGAGCAAUAAUAUCAGUACAAACCCUUCUGGCAAGUGGAUUAGGCUUACUCUCAGAAAUCUAAGUUGCCCUGAAGCUCUUCUUGGAGGACUGUAGCAGAAUUUUAUUCCAGCUUUCAUUUUACUUCAGCCAGUUUCCAGCCACUGAUUUGGGAUGCAGAUGUUUUAGCCUUUCCUCCUCACUUGUCUGAGUAUUUGCCCUUUUAAAGUGUUUAAAACAAAUAAUAGUUCUCUUCUUCACCCUUUUUUAGACAAGCUGGCUCUUCUACUCUCCUUAAAAAAGGCUUUCAAUUCCUCAUCCUGUUAUAGUGGUCCCUCAAACUGACCUCACUGAGGAGAUUAUUCCUUACAAAACCCCCCUCCCAGAGUUCUAGAGGAGGUAAAUCACUCAGUGGUUGAUACUUCUCUGCCUCCUCCUUACCUUUCUCUCCCCAGCUGUGCACUCUCAUGUCCUGCCCAUGGUACACAGGGGACUUGGGGAUCAGCUUCAGAUUUCCUAAUAAAGAGAAGGCUUUUUCCUCUGUCACUGGCCACAGGUAAAGCUAAGGCUCAUAGUAACAUUUUAUUUUUAUUAGAAGUAGCUAUGUGUUAUUAAAUUUUUAUCCUCCUUAUUUAUUCUCUUAAACAAGAUCCUCAACAAAUAAAAUUCCUGUGUAUAAUUUAGCCUCAGCAUAUGCUGACUAUGCCUCCCUCAGUCAUCAGGAGCUCCCAUAAGUGCUCCCCUACUUUUUGAACCAACACUAUUAAUUAAAAUACUAAAUAAACAUGGUCCCAGAUGUGAAGCUGAGGAACACCAGUAGUGAUCAUCUUUAUGAACAGCAUUUUCCUAUUCAGAACACUUAAACAAAAAAAUCGUACAGUUUUUAUACUGGUCCCUUCUCCAUUUUCAUAAUUCCAUUAUUUCUCAUCUGAUUCUACAUUGUCUAUUUUUCACAGGCACAGACUGUGGCAUUCAGGUCAUAGCUGCCUUUAGAUAGAAAUACAUUUUACAUUAUGAGCAAAGCCAAGUGCCUUAGAGAUUUCUUAUCUGAGGUUGUCUAUGCCAAUGUUUUCAUAGCCUAUCAUAUAAUCUAGGAAAUGUAAUUUUUCCAUGCUUUUAAUAGUUUUUAUUGAAAACAGAAUAAGCAUAAAUUAAGUUGCUCAAAGAUGAAAAAUGCAGUAACUAAACUGAUUCAGCUUAGCUGAAACAACAAAUUAAUUCAAGUGAGUAUAUCUGCAAAUUAAUCCACCAGUUAUGAAGGCAAAGUCUAAAGCUGAUACUAGAAUAUUUUAGUUUCAUUUAAGAAGACGCUGUCUAACCUGAAGGGUGCAUAAGAAGCAAAUGCAUUGAGGUCAGGUGCCCCAAGUACUUCUCAGACUGAAGUCUAAGGACUGAGCUAUUGAUAGUGGUAAAGCAAGAGUCGCUCAACAUGGAUUUGUUGGGUACUAAACCCUCUCAAACCCCAGUGGGAAAGGCUGGUUUGGAUUGUCUUAUGGCAACCUUAACUUCUGUAGCAUUGCUUUUGUUACCUGCAGUCAGGCAGUGGAGGCUUUGUUGGGUUCAGUUGAGCUGGAACAACUCAGCCUGGCCAUAGCAGUGCCCCAGGUAUUUCACCUGUUUCUCCUGGAAGGCCUGGAGAAAGGAAGAGAAGAAAGGAAUAUCUGGAGCCUCCAAAAUUGCUCAUUGGUCAUUUGAGAUGCAUUUUACCUUCAUAGAACCUUUGCAUUUCAUAAGUCUCAUUAGCUUUAGGAAUUAUUCCCAUGACUUCAAGAUCUCUGAGAGCCCAUCUGGUCUGUUCCCAGGGAGCAAAAUCCUCAGGGUGAAUCAGAAAAUAUUUAAUUCCAGAAACGCACAGAACAGGAUACGUGAGUGGUUACUGCUUGUAAUGUUACACCACCAGGCUUCUGACAGAGGUGGUGAGAACAACACCCAUGAUUAGUAACUAAUCAGUAGCUAAUUUCUUAAAGUUGCCCAAUGAUCUCAUCAUGGUUUUUCCAUGUACAUGUUCUUGUCAUUGCAGUUAUUUCCCGCACUCUCCUUUUUCCCUUUUAAGAAUUCCCCCAGACCCUUUGCUAAAUAGAAAUCUGGGAACCACCAGGUCUUAAUGCACAAACUCUUUUUACUUUUUAUGCAAAAGAUAUGGAAAGAAUAUGCAGUAUAAUUUAUGUACAAAGAGACUAUGCAUAUGUAAUUAAAGGUUUCAAAGGCCAUUUUAUCUCAAACCUCAUGAUUUUCAUCUGCAGAAUCCCUUUUACCAUGGUUUGAGUUCUGAUUUUUGAAUUUCUGUCUAUGACUGCUUGGCCUGACGUGGUCAGUUCUGUGAGAUCUGACAGGACCUCAGGCAAGGCAAUGGGUUUCUCUGCUGCAAUUACCCAGCCUUUGUGUGAAUAUUCUGUAAAGGUUUACAUUUGCCCAUAUAUUAAUCUAUGGAUUGUCUGUAAUGCAAUAACAAAUUUAUUACUAUAACUGAGCAAUGAAGGAGAGCAGUGGCUUCAAAGAAUCAGCCAGCUAUAGGAACUUGCAUGCUUGAAGAACUUAUUCUAUCCUUAAGCACAGGCCAUCUGUGUGAAAUUUUUUACCUGGGAGAAAACUAAGUCUGUGCUUUCCUCUGUGUGUGUGUGCAGCUCUUGUCAACAUUAAUUGCCAAAUUCAUAAAAAAGUAGACCCUGAACUGUUGUUUCAGAGCCAGCAGCACAGCAGAUCUUACAGCUGUGUAUUUGUAAUUGUGCCACGGCGAAACAAGCCCUGGAGCACGCAAAGAGACUUGGAGAUUUCCCACCUCUCUGACAGCUUUUCUGACUAAUUCAGCUGUGCUGGCAAGUCCUGCCAGUUAGCACAUGCUAUUUUCAGAAUAAAAUGGAUCCAGCACCAGGCAAGAGGCUCCAGUAGUGACGUUUCCCCUUUGUUUCAGAGAGGUGUAUUUAACCCUUCUGCCAUCUCUAAUGGCCGUUAUGUGGGUGUGAUGUGACAUGAAAGAGCCUCUUGAAUAUUCACAAAAUUUUGGCUUCUCCCUGCACAAUUGUUCUUUCCUUAAAUUCUGACUCCAGGAGAAGGCCUGUUUUGUAGGAGUUCUUCCCUUUUUGUUCGCUUGUCUGAGAAUCUUGCUGGCCUGGGAAAAUGGCCUGGCUUGAUGUUUAAUUCCCAGUUCUGUCUUCCUUGAGGGAUCUCAGUGCCGCUCCACCCCAUCACCUCAUCUGGCCUUGCUCUGCCUUGGGGCAGGGGUUCUUCUCCAGGCCCCUGGCACUGGCUCUGCACAGCCAGCAACUGGGCAGGACAAACCUCCCUGUCCCUCUUGGGAUGUCCCAGUGAAACCUUCCACCUGACUCCAGUGGCACCUCCCAGCCCUGUCCCUGCGUGGGUGGCUGGGACCUCCCUUCCUUUGACAAGGCUCAUGCUCUCUGCUCUUUCCCAGCUGGAACUUGAUUAGAUUUGAAUUUUAUUGUGAAGGAGAUACAAUAAUAACACAAAGAAAGAGUAAAGAAUGCCUGUAGGAUUAUUUUGUUUGGUUUUGCUUAAGAUAUGGAGUAAACAAAGAAGGCUUCUUCCAACGGGAAAUUAAUCUAUUCUGUCAAAAAUAAAUGAAAAUAUCCUUGCAGAAAAGGGCAAUAGAGAUAAUAUUUUAUGCAUAAAGACUACUGGAUUAACUUGAGUGACCAGUCUUCUCUUUUAUGCAAAGUUUCUAUGCAUAAAAAUUAAUGCAGGUAAGAUUCAUUACUCAAGUUUUGAGCCAUUUUGACUGUGAGAGCAUUCCUUUUUAUUUGCUCUGGAGUCUCUGUAUUCUUCUAAAACAGGAGAUCAUUCUAAUUUAUUCUUUUAGAGCCCACUGAAGGCCUGUUUGUCUGGUGUUCUGCAGUUCUCUGGAGACUGCUCUCUAAAUGUAUGCCAAGGUGGUCAUUGGCUUCUUUUAAGCAUAACAUCCUGAGAGCUUUGGGACAAGAUGGAGUGAGGAAGUGAAUGGACUUGGAAUGUGGAUUUCAGUAGCAGCAUGGACAUUGCCCAGCACUGAAAGUUUGGUGAAAAUGGAGUUGGUUGCUUUUGAAAAAUUGCCCAAACUUAUUUUGUAUUUUAGCAAAGCAAUUUUCCAUUCUCUUUGUUGUUACAACCACCUAAACCAUCUGUCUGCAAAGGAAGAAAACAAAUUGCCCUGCAGGUGAUAUUCAGCAUCAGAAUGAUCAGACUAAAUGAGUGAAGUUUGGCAAAAUUAUAACUAACUAAAAACUGCAUCUCCUGAUGUCAAGUGUCAGAACAGUUUUAGUGAAGAGUAUUUUUCUGCUUUAUCACAUUUAUAGCAGAAUCUUAGUGAGUCCUAGAAGGAAAUAAACACUGUUUAAUGUCUGUGAAAGUGAAAACAGAGGUGUUUUUCUUGUCCUGUUUAAAUGUCUCCUUGUGUUAGUAUUGCACUACUCAGCAUAAAAGUCUAAAUGGAUUUCCUCAGCUAACGAAGUGAAAUAGUCCAUAAUAUGCCCCAGCUCCUGCAGCCCCAGUGCCAGCUUGUGCCAUUAGAAGGAUGAUAACUUAUAGGAAUCACUGUAAUUCAGUCAAACUUGAAAUAAAAACUGUGGAAAAUAUGUUGCUUUGGGGGAGAUGAAAAUAUACCAGCAAUAUUGAUCUUAGUAGCAUAUGAUGUUCGUGCUGCAUUCCAAUGUGGCAGGACAAAACAGAAACGCAGAGCUGGCUGCCUGUCACAUGGCUCAGCAGCCUUGUGCAGGCAGGGAUGUUGCUUUGUGUCUCCUCCCAGUUCCUCUUCCCUCCUGAUUAGGAAGAGGUACCAAAGCAGAGCCUCCUGGGUUUCUGGUUGUUUGCUUUGCUCAGAGAAGUUUUGGAUUUGUUUGUUUUGAAUAAAAAGCUGUUCCUUGAGGCUAGGACAUAAAAGAGGUUUGGCAGUGGAAGAGCUUAUUAUUUAGAGUGGAUAAUUCUUCUCUAAAACUGUAAUUCAUCUGAAAGAUAUGUAGGACCCUGUCCUUCUCUCUCCCUUAAAUUUUUGCUUUCCCUUUUUUCUUUAGAUACUGCAACAUUUUCAUUCUUAUAUGCCAAGAAUGAGGCUUAGACCCAAUAUAACCAUAUGGUCUGUAUCAAAAAAUGAUGAAACCUUAAGGCUAGCAAUAUCUGAAGAUUCUUGUUUAUUUGGGGGGAAAUAUAUAAUCUAUAAGCAAUUAAUUGAUGAAUAUUGAAUUAAUCUAACCAAACAAACAUAUUCCUCAACAUCAUUCUCUGAUAUCAUUUACAAGCCUUGGGCAGAAUUUUACAAAAAAAAUUAUUCCCUCUCUUUGGCUAAAAACAAACUUAACACUUGCUUUCAACACAGAAACUGUCACUGAAGCUGAUUAAGCAUGCUCUAAAUUAUUGUAGUUUACAAGACAAUAGCAAAAAAUACAUACAUACAUAUAUAUAAAUAAAUAUAUAUAAAAUACCAAUCCAUAUGGUGCUAAUAUGGUGCUAUGGAAGCAUUUCUCUCCAGUAGUAUAUGUUUAGAAAAUGUCUCUCUGUGCCAAGUGCUUGAAGCAGUUUCAGAGUAGGUCUUCGACUAGUGCCACAAAGUUCUUCUGUUCUUCUCAGCUACAAAAUCCUGGGAACAGCUGCAGACCUGGAGCUGUGUCUGUGUCUUCAAGAUCAUUUCUAGGGCAGAGGCCUAGGUGCUUUGGUUUGGUUUUGCAGAAAUACCAGUGAUUCCUGCAGUUGUUUGCAGUGGAGUCCCUGUAUUUAUUGCAGCAGGCAGAGGAGCUGUACCUGCCUCUGAUCUCACAGCCAGACCUGGUACCUGGGACUGGCUGCACCCAAUGGGCCUUGGCAGGUGGGAACCUGCUGCCUCUGCCAUUCAGCACGGAGCAGCAAACCAGGGCAGCACUGUAGAGGCAGCUCAAUGCUGGAAGGAAUGCGCAAGUUCAAGUAUUUUCUCCCUUUUGUCACGUUUUCAUAAAUUUUUAAGCUCUUGUAGCUCUUUUAGGAGUGGCAGGAAUUUCUCCUCACUCCAAACUACACAGCAAUUCUUUAUCAUUUUCAUUCUGCUACCUGAAUUUUGCAAGUAAAUGUUUCUGUUAGAGAGGAUUAUAAACGCUGAAACUUUUCUCUCCCAGUUACUAGGGUAGGAUUGUGUGCAAUCUCUUUCACAGUUCUGGCUACCAAGCUGUCGUCAUCUCCCUCAGUCAUGUUUGUGUCUGAGGACGUGGUGCUGGCACCAUCUUGGUUUAGCUCUGCUGUGCCUCUUCUCCUUCUGUUCUCGUGCUGAUCCAAGUCCCAGAUUUUUCCUUAACAGGAAAGUGCAUGUUAUGUUUCUGUCACUGCAAAUUCUCAUUUUAGUUGAAUACUCCUGUUUUUAACUUUCCAAUCCAUCAGCACAAGGUAGCCUAGCAGGGCUUUGUUGUGAGUGCCACGCCUGCUGAUCUGAGCUCAUUGUUGCUCCUGACAGCGUGUGCAGCCUCAGGGUCCCACUGGUGCAGAUUCCAAGUGGGACCAUUCCCAGGAUUGAGGAAGCCUGGCUCUUGGGGCAGGGGCAGCACUGCAGGAGGCUGAUGCUCAUAUUUUUGGUCUAUUUUUGGAUAAGAAAGAGUAGCUGGACAAAUUGCUGGGGAUGAUAGUAGGUAUGUCAUGCAGGAAGAUUUCAGUACAGGCAGGUGGCUGUACUUAGCAGAUACUGCCAGAGAUAAGAUUUUAAUCUAUAUUUAAAUUGCCUUAAUGAACAGACUGGUUUGUAUUCAAAACUGUUUUCAAGGUACACAAAAAUGGCAGGAGAAGAAAUACUGCUUUGAGAAAAAUUUAGGAAUAUCUGGUGAAAGACAGAAGUUUCAUCAAUUUAUUCAGAGUGGAUUAAUUAUUUUUCCACAUGUGAUUUCUAGAAACUAUUUCCUAUACAUAGUCUUUUGAACAAAUAAGUAAUGUACUUUUCUAACAAUCUAAAAUUCUGACCUUUCAUUUUUGUCCCCUUUUCAUCCCUUCAGUUCUGCAACAAUGUAGAACAUUGUCCUCCAUGUGCCACAUGAAGUCUUCAGUAAGUUUUUAAUAUUCUGUACAAAAAGGGAAGUUUAGAUGUUUAUAUUUUUUUUCUUUUUUUAGCAGAAUGGAGGGACUAGGGAUGGGAUUCUUUGAUAAAAAUGUCUCCUGAGACUCUUAUCUUGUUCUGUAGAAUGUGCAGAUAAAUUAUAGCUUUGAAGACACUGUAGUCUGGUCCAAGACAAUUUAUCUACUGAAUUUAUGAGGCCAGAUUCUCUGCUAGUAAUUAUUUGGAUGGAGCUAAACAGAUUUACACCAAAAAUGUGUAUGUUGCUGAUGUGUGAAGGAUAUGGAUUGCAGGAAAUAUGAUGAGACAUUGGGAAAACAAGCAUUGAGUAUGCUGAAGAAGCCUAGUUUAGAAAACCAAUUAUAUUUUUAUAUAUUUCUGUAUUGAAAUGACCUUUCAGGACAGAAUAAUCAAGAUAUGUGAAUAACAACUCGUUAAAGCAUAAAUUGUUAGGGAUGGAAAGGACUUCUAGCGAUCACAUAAUCCAACUCCCAAGGAAGACAAUCUAGAGAUUUUUUUUUUCCAUUUUCUUUUUACCUCUUUCAUCUUUGAAUGUUUUCUUUCAUUGCCAGUAUGCACAGAGUGAAACUUUUAAAAGUAUAUGCAUCAGGGAUACAGGCAAAUGCACACUGAAGGAUGCUGGCUGUGAUGUGCUUCUGUUCUCUCUCAGCAGAUCAGUGGGGUGAGGAAGGAACAGAGAGAACCACCAUGCUUAUACCUUGGAAAUUUUCCAGGGUUGGAGACCUUGGGUCCUUGUUUACACACUGUGGCUAUGCCCAAACACAGUUUUGUGAAACUUGGAUCAAACUCCUUGUUGUGUGUGCGUCUGAUUCAGUGCUGUGCUGCCUCUUGCAAACAGAGCUUUUGAAGUUUGUGUGGCCCCUGUUUGUAACGCAGGGCAGAUGAGAAGGUGUUCCAGAGCCUGCACACACAGACUCUGGGAUCUGGGACCCCUGAGCUCUCUGGGACUCACUCACCACGAGACACUCAGCUCCUUCUCUCUGCUCCCUUUGCCAGUAGAGCUGGGCCUGCAGGGCCUGCAGAUGAUUCCUGUCAGAAGCAGGUCUGGGAGCUGUGCUGCUGCUCCUGCAGGACCUGCAGAUGAUUCCUGUCAGAAGCAGGUCUGGGAGCUGUGCUGCUGCUCCUGCAGGACCUGCAGAUGAUUCCUGUCAGAAGCAGGUCUGGGAGCUGUGCUGCUGCUCCUGCAGCACAUCUGCACACAGCCAGAGCCCAGGCAGCUGAGCAGAGCCCAUCUCUGGGACCCAGCGCCACUCAAGAGCAAUUCCACUGCAAAGUGGCUGAAGUGAUUAUAGCCUUAGAGGAGUUGCCAAAUUAGAGAAACAGGUAUCAGUGAGUUUUACUCAGUGUUAGCAAAUAAACAUGGAGCGUGCAGAGUGUGGUUACCUGGGGAAAUUUAGGGAGUUUUAAUCCUCAGCUUGGAAAUCAAAGCAUUAGCACAUAAAAAGGGAAAUAUGAUGGACCUUUUGUUUCCAAACACUGUACAUAGCUCAGGCUUUCUGGCAAUGUCCAUGGGAUUAUAUUCAUUCCUUCUGAAGCUGCAAAUUGAUUAAAUUACGUCAGUGAAAGGCCACUAAUGACACGUUUUAGCUUGCUUUCUGUUGCAGCAGCAUGUUAAUCUACAUUUGGAAUUUGAAUGACAUGGCGGCUGCUGUUCCAAGGAGCUGUUGGUCACUCAUGAUCUAAUGAAGCCUCUGACCACAGCUCUUAGAAAACAAAAGAUGGAAAUCCUGCAAGUCCUGCUUCUUAUCCACAUCGACAGUGGUGGAAUAAGACUGCUUUGUUCCAAUCUUGUUUCAUGGGUAUGUGGAAUUUUUAAAGUGCUCUCUAGGUGUGGUGCUGAAACAUCUUUUCCCAAAUCUUGUUCUGUUUCUUCUGAAAGUUCCAACACCCCUCUGUGUGUGUGUCACUGUACCUUGGGUUUGUGUACAUUUAAUUGCUCAUACCCAUAAAUGAAACCAGAGAUUCUCUUGUUUCUUCUCCCCAGGUACAGAAACCCAAAUGCACAGGGAUGGAUUCCUCUGGCUCACUGGGGACUCCUGUCACGAGCUCUCAGUAGAAUCUCAUCUGGUUUUAUCCCUUGAGUUCUCUGCAGCUAAACUUUAUAUCAUAAUAGCUCUAUGUGCUCCCUUCCCACCCUGUUUCCUGAGCUAUAGUGAGACUUCUUGACACCUCAGGAGAACUCUCUGUAUCUUGCAUCCUGUCCUUUCCCCGUGUCCCUCUGCCAUCACACUGUCUCUAAUUAUAGUGCCACAGUCAUGUCUCUUUCCCCUGGGUGGCAGCAGCAGCUCCUGUGGUUCAAAUAAAUGUGUUCCUUAUGGUGCCUUCAUCAACUUCAUGGACCUGAGGUAUAUACUGUAUAUUAAGUGUAUUGUUAAAGUGCAUUUAUUAAAUAUUUCAGAUAAUUUGAUUUGAAUUGUGAAGUUAAUUACAAAAUAUUUAAACAGCUACAUAUUCAUAUAAUUCCCUAGACUUUAAAAGAGAUUCAGGCAUUACUUAAAGCUGCACCUUCAGAGUAUUUUUAUCUCUAAAACUUGUAUAAUCAGGCCUCAUUAUUGUACCUAAAUUAGUAAAAUUUACAUUUCUGUCUUCCCAUCUCAAUAUAAACCACAAUUAUUUAGUUUCCCAUUUAGAUAAUCCCUAAAAUGUGAUUCACAUCUCCUUUAUGCACUGCUAUUGUCUUUAAUUAAAUUAGUUCUUAUAGCAGUCUCAGGUACCAGCACAGUUAUUGCCUCAGUUCUGAGCACUCUUCCCUGAUUUGAUCAGGUUUCUGGAGUCCCAGACCAGGUUUUCUGCAAAGCUUGUUUGCUGUGCAAGCACCAUCAGUGCUCAUUUCUGCAGGGAAGUGAAAUGUUUGGGAAAACUUGGCUGUAGUUGUUGGUGUGGAGCCAUGCAGUCAGUUCCAGGAGUUUAUUUCCUCAAGUUCUCUCAAAGCUGGGGGAUGAGGAGUCCCUUUGUAGUAUGUAACAAAGCUCUGGAUAGCUCUGAAGUGAAGUGAAUACUUGUGAAAAUCUCUCUUGGGGUCAUGUCUUGUUGAUGUGGAUCAUCAGCAAUGGCAAAGUUAGAACUGUGACAGCAAGAGAAACAUAGAAAUUUCCUAUGAAACAAAUUUUGAGAUUAAAUUACAAAAAGUGGCCUUCUUUAAAGCUUUUGAGGUUAAGUAUCAGACCGUUUUGCUAGUCAGCUGUGUACUUGUGUAUGUCAUUUGAAAUGCAAUUAUACAAGUUAAGAAUUUGAUAUUAUUUUUUUGAACAUCAGUUUUCACAGCAGGGGUGAAAUUGAAAGCUGUGAACCACAGCCCCUGAAAAUUGGCUUUUCAUAGGAACUUCAGACUGCAAUUUCUCCUGUUAUUGGCUAGUCUGGCAACACAGUCAUCCCUAAAUAAACUGCACUACGUUUUAGCCAUGUGAGUGAUUGUCCUGGUAGUAGUAAAGCUGUGAUUUAUUCCCUUGAGGAAUUUCAUUGUAUCUGUUCCUUUCUAUGAGGUUCUUGAAGGACAUGUUUCACAUAAACCAGCUUUACUUUGUCAAUCAACAGAGUCACUGGGAACCAAGGCUCCAGAAAUCCUGUAGGAUCCUCCCACUCAGUAUUGCCUGGCAAGCCAAUUAGCUUGAUAUUUUUAUCUCUAACCUGAUUUGGAACUAAUUGUAAAUUACUAUUUUAUCAUUCUGUUUUCUGUGAUAAAUGCCCUACUCAAUUAUUAUUAGAGCUGCUCCUAGGACAGCUGAAUCUCCUUCUAUCUAUGCCAUACCUUGUGGCUUUGCAAUGUAAGGAGGAUACAGAAGCACCUCAUCCUACCUCACUGAGUCUUGAUUUUGUCCCAGAGCACAGGGGAAUGUGUUCACUCUUUGAGACAGGCAGGAUUUUCUAGCACACCCUUCACUGUGGUAAAAGUACCUUUCUAUGAGAAGCUUCAUGUCAGUUGUUUAAUAUCUGUCAAGUUACCUUCAAAGCAAAGCCCAGUUCUCUACACUAAAUUAAGAAAGUUUGAGCUGCUUCACAUUUUAUUCCAAAACAGUGUUCUCUGCUUUUUAUUUGAUUUUUUUUAAAUCUCAGAGUCUACCACAAGACAAUGUUUAUUAAAAGCUUGAAAUGCAGUUUUUACUACAGAGUGCAUCUACUUCAAUGCAGUUUUGAAGCAAAUCUUUCAGUCCUUCCCAUUUACUGCACCUAGCCUGACAUCACUGGUGUCUAAGUGGUGUCUAAGAGCACACAGAUUAAAUUCCUUCUGCUUAAAAUUACUUAAAACUAUUAAAAUUAUUACUGGAAAAUGGACUCUAGGAACACCUGUAGAUGUCCAUUAAGUAGCUGGAGAAUGUCAGUUCCCAGUCCACACCAGAGCUUAACCAAAGUGACACAUAUUGCAGAGUCUGUGUCCUCAGCACCAAGGGCUUUGCUGUGCAGUUGUUGUCCUGUCUCACUUCUCAGGAGCACUGAGCUGAUGGACAUGUGAAUCUUGAACAAAAAUGAGAGCCUUGGUCUGAGAGGCUCCUGCUUGCCCCAGUUUUGGGAAGUCCACUGGAGGAGCAGGAUUAGAGGCAAAAAUCUCAGCUCAUUCCUGUCUGCCCCAUUCCCCAUCUCUGUGCCUGCUGUGCUCAGGAGCUGAGGCCCUGGGCAGCUGCUGCAGCUGAGCUGAGUGAGAGUUGUGCUGCUCUGCCUUGGCUCAGACCAGUCCCUGAUCUGAGACCCAGAGCAGGAGGGGCACACAAGCAGUUUGCAGUCUCAUUUUGCAGUGUCUGCCCAAGUGAAGUCUCUCUAGUUACAGCUCCCAGGAAUCACUAGAGUCAUACUCAGCUGGAAAGACCCCUGAGGAAGGAAGGAGAUUGGAACCACAGGUGCUUCCCAAAGCUGCUGCUUCCCUACAAACCUUGCUGCGUAUAACUACUGUCAGAAAAUGCAGGAAUUGUCUACGCAAAAUUAAUCCUCUGCAUCUGAGCUUUCCUCACUCUAGGGCAGUGACAAGCAGAAGCAAUUCUUUUCCACAGGAAGCUGAGCUCAUGGAGUUGUGUAUUGAAAAUCUCACACAAAAAUUAACUUGGUGCUCCAAAUCCCUGAUAUGAGGCCUUUUCCUUCAGCAUUUUAAUCAAGGCCUUUGCUACAGCAAAUGUUUAGCACUGUAAGUAAUUGGUAGAGACUGCUGACAUGAUAAAACUGUGGCAGGUUCAGCCUAAUCUGAAAAAAAUCCCUGAGAACAUUAAUUGCAUGAGCUGACCCAGUGAAUCAUCAAAAAAGCAAGGCAUAAUGCAAAUGUUGUGCACAGCAAGUAGAACUAUACCUGGCAUGUUUCAGAAAGCCAACACUGAGAAGAAAUAAAACUGGCUGCUCCAAGUGGAGCAUUUCCCAGGUUUUCCAUGGGAGCUGCUCCUCAGAAACCCCCUUGGUCUGUUUGUCACUAUCCCUUUGGCAACUGGGACAAGUAUGCAGAUGGCAAAAUACCGUGACUGCUUUUAGCAUCACAAAGUCACUUUGGUAUUGAAAGUGCACAAAGUCAUGAUCUUAUUGGAAAAAUUCUGAACAUCUGAGUCAGAGCCACUUGGUAAUUGAGUCAAGGCUUGUAUGAUUCAAGAGCUGUACGUGGUUAGAAAAGUUGUUAGAAAUUACAGUGUUAGAAGUCCUUUUCUCUAAGCAAAGAGAAGCUUGAGGACACUGGGGACUGAUGGCAGAGAGAAAAGAGCAAGUUUGUAGACAGCCAGAUAACAAAACAAAUACAAGUAAUAUCGAGUAGAUAUAAUUUGAUUUCUGUAUUUUAAAAACUGCCAAUACCUGUGAAUUCUAGUGGUCAGUACUGACCAUCUUACUGACACCCUGUUUGCCAAGCCAUCCUUUCUGGGAUUUAUUGAGCCAUUCCAAAUCUCUGGGCAGAUUCAAGCAGCUGCAUUUCCUAAUGAACAGCUAAAGCUGUAGGUCUGUCUUUAAUACCAGGCGUAGAUGGUACUGCCCACUGAGACCAAGGGAUAUCCCAGUGAGAGUUCUCAUGUCUGUAGCAUCUUUUGGUUUAUUAAGCCUUGAAGGAAGUUUUGAACCACAAAAAUAAGAGAAGUGACAGCAUCCUAACGACGAAAUUAUUUUUUCCUGGCUGUGAAAAUGCCAAAGCAGCCAUGUUUUGUAGUGAUCUUUUCUAUCAUUAGGCUGUUUCAGGCAAUAAAUGAUAAGGCUUCUCUCCUUUGACUCAGGCACAAAUGGGAUUCUUUAUGGAAAUAGAAUCAACAAUUAUUUUCAUUUUUAGAAAUGUCAAAAUGUCUGUUUCAUAACAUAAUUCUUAAUGAUGGAAAAAUUCAUAUGCAGCCUCUAGUGAUGUAAGUUAAAAAUAAUACCUGUAGUAGUACUAGUAUAUUCAUAUAACUAUAUUUUUAUUUUCAAUAAUUAAAAUAAAAUUUUGUUAAGAUCACCUAACUAAUAAUUUGUUUUGUAGAAAGUGGUAACAGUAACCUCCCUUGAAAAACAUGAAUCUGAGAAUUUCACCUAAGAAUUACCUCGAGACCGCCCUUCAUGCUGAGCUAAUGGUUGUUUCUCCCAGUGACAACCAACCUAGAGUGAAAGGCUGAAGCAAUAAACAAUCUUUUACAUCUUCUGUAGCAAUCUCAUAGAAGGCAGAGUUUUUACUGCAAGACAAGAUCUUUUUGUUGGACAUUGGACUGGCAAGGAUCUACCAUCAGCUGUGUCUUCUGAUCAUUGUUCAACAGCAUGGAUGUUGCUUGGAUCACUUGUUCUUCCUUUUAAAUGCAAGUAUUGAAUCUGUCUCAUUUUAAGACUGGAAUGUGAAGGUGAAAUAUAUAACAAGUUUCUGAUUUCAGAACCGGGCACUAAGGUAUCAGAUAUUUUAGCAUUUGGAGCCAUAGAGUGGCUGUUCCCAGUUGUGUUGAACUCUUCAACCUUUGCCUCCUCCCCAUGAAUCUUUUCAUGUGGGCAACAAAUGGGUUAAUUUGCCAUGCAGCAUGAACCUGCCUCACACCCUACAGAAAACUGUAAAAGAAGGGGAUUUUAUUUUCCAGAUUACUUUUAAGAUCUGUGACAUUUUCCUUAUGAUGUUCUCCCAUUUUUGCCUUUAAAAAAAUAGUGGGUCUGAAAAAUCUUUUUAUUUUAUUGUUCUUUCCUUCCUGUAGUUCAGAUUGAUUACUGGAAGUUCCGACUUUCUCCCUCCAUAUUUUGCAGUUGUAAGUACCUUUCUCUCUCUGAUUCAUACCUUGUAAAAGCCCUUUUAGGAUCCUCAUUUGCACCAUUAACCUCCUUUGGAGUGGUUAUUCCUUUGGAGUCCAGUUUUACUGAGAUCUCUUUGUUUGGUACUCACAUUUUAGAAAUAGUAAUCUAUUUACAUAUUCUAAACCUUCAUGUUCAAUUUCAAAAGUUUUUCAGUCCAAUUAUUUUCAGUAAACAGUUACCAUAGUUACUCAAAGAGUCUCCUGAAGUCAAGACUGAGCCCGAUGUUUGUUCACCGUUCUGUUUAAUUUAAAUUGAAUCAUCUCACGUGCAUUUGCUCAAGGUUGUUUGGUCAGGUCUACUUGUUGCAAAUCAAGAUCCCAAUGGUACCACACUGGCAUCACUCCAUGAGAACUGGCUAAAUGUUUUGGAAAGAAACGUGGCAGCUCUCACACUAAUGACAGUGUGAAUACUACCAGCAACAGGAACAUUUUGUUUCCCUUUGCUGUCCAGAGUUAAUUCCUAUCCUGAUACAAUUUCUAGAAGGAAUACAAUUGAAAAGAUUUCUCAUUAAAUCCAGUAUUAGAAUGCUCUUGAAAAUUUUGAGCAAACUCAUUUUUUUGCUCAUCAUUCUCCAAAGUUAUUUAAUCUCAGACAAAUUCUGUUCUGUCCAUGCUGCUCACAUUUUUAUUCUCUUUGCUUCAUAACACAAGAAAAUCUGUAUUUCUGAACUUUAUUUCAGUAAUUUAUUUUUAUCACAUUUCAUUACAAUUUUCCUUAGAUGUUUUCAUCAGGUUCUUUUAAAUGAUGCAUUAGACAUGCAGGUUAAUUAUUAGCUAUUCAGACAGCUAUCUCACACACAACAGUAAAAUAUUUCCUUUACAUGGUCUUGCUAUAUAUUACUUAUUUUUCCUUUUAUUAGUUAUAUUUUUACACUCCUCAGGAAAAGGCUGCAUUGCAUAAUUCCAACUAUAAAAUGUUAUAUUUAUGUAAUAAAUUGCAGUCUUUGCCUGUUUAUAUGCAUUGGUAGUGAUUUUAAUAACAUUAUUUCUUCAGUGGCUUUUGCACCGAAAAGUGUCCAAUUUCUUCCCCUCAAAAUUACCUGAGCUGAUCUAAUAAAAGGUACCUAUAUUUUUUCAUUAUUUGUGGUGAGCAGUUUGCAAACUGCAACAAUUAAUAUGAGUUCCAAACAAACUCGCAAGGAACAGGGAAUUUCUUUAGUGGGUGAAGAACAGAUCUUAGCAGGUUGCAGUGGAAUUAGUAUUAAUGGAAGAUUACCAGGAUCCUGGAAAUCCUGCCCUCAGCUCCUCCAGACAGCAGCUUGAAAUCGUCACUCUGUGCUGAGUCUGGAGGGAUGGGGAGCAGCUGUCCUGCUUCAGUUCAAGCUGACAUGGCCAAACACCCUGAGAACAACCCAGCAUUUUGAACUGCAGUAGGGAAUGAGAGGUGCACCAGAGGCCAAAAGAUUUCAUAUUAAUAGGAAAAGGUAAAAGUUGCAUCAGAAUCUGUCCUCUUCUAAUUCUAAACAGUAGCACAUUUGUAGCAGUGUUUGCUGAGUAUAAACUCUUGGAGACCCUUCUCUAUUACCAGUAGGAAGGAAAAAUGAAUUAUUAAAAAUUGUCUGAAUUUUAUCUUCAUAAUCUGAGCAGGUUCAAUUAGUUGAGAGAUCUGUUUGCAGUCUGUGUUUGCACUUUGCUUCCCAGGCAUGUUAUUUCUAUAUUGGUUGCUGGGUUUAAUACUAAAUAAAUAUGUGAGGUUGUUCACUCUCUGUAGGACAGUUGCAGUGGUCACUGCCAGUCCAAACCCUGGUGGUCUUCCACCUGAUGGUGGAUAAUUAAUGAACCAGAUAUAAAAAAUACAUUUCUUACUGAAUCCAUCCUUUAAUCUGUAUCACGUUGUAGGUAAAAGGGUGUCUGUAAAAAAUAGCUUUUGCAGACUCUUCUCCAGGCCUUCCCUUCACUUUGAAGGAAUUAAUGGAUUUUAAAAUAUCUGCAAACUUUCAUUUUUGUGGCUGAAACAGUACCUGGGUCAUAUCUGGUCUCUGAGGGAUCAUUUUAAACUGCUUUCCUUGGUUUUUUCCCCUGUGUGUAAGAUGCUGUGCCUGUCACUGAGUGCUUUAUAAUGUGAGUGUACUUCCCUCUUUCAGUGGCCUGCCCUCAUGGGGAAUGUUUCUGGGAGGGCUUUUGGGGAGAGCUCUGCACUCCUGCUCCUGGCAGCUAUGUUGAUUUGUCUUUCUAUUUGUUUAGUAUGUUAACAGAACAUAAAGAAUUACAAUUUGAUUGCACAGCUUUACAGGAGACUCAGGACACAUCCUCACCUUUACACACAGCAAUUUUAGAUGGCAAUUUUCCCCCAUGUGGAUACCACCUGUCUAAUUCAGGCUUGUGCUCCUGCUGACUGAUUGGAUCACCUGACUCGGUCACUUCAAGGCUCAGGAAAGCUCGCUGGUUUGCAGGAAGAUGCCUCAGAGGAAUGAGCAGUUUGUGUGUCUGCAGCAGGCAGGCAGGCAGCAUCCUUGCUGCUGGGCUCUGCCUGGGGCUGCUACUGGCCUGGGGGACCUGGCUCCCUGUGCUUUUUGCACAGUGAGCAACUCUCCCAACUGUACUCAUUGUAUUGCUGGAGUGUCAGGAAGUGUUAAGGAAAAGGGAAUAUUCAACACCAUGGAGAUGUGUGGGUGUCAUUCCUCUGCUCCUCAGCAGAAAACACCACUUGGGUGUAUUUAAGAGCUCUUGGCCAGUUGUGCUGUAGUACAUUAUAGCAGGAGAGUGAAUUUGUGUGAUUAUUGAUUACUUCUGUGUGGGGACAGCUGAGGUGUUUGGGCUUUUGUUAUUUAGAUGAAUCAGCUGCUGGUCACUUUGUGCUGAUUCACUCCCAGAGCUGGAUGUGAGUAUUUGGAUGGAUUUACAGUAACUUCAUCCUUUUUACUCAGGGACAUGCCAGUCUGCAGAAUUGCUACAAUUGACUCAUUGUUCUGCUGUGUCAGGUAACAAAAUAUUCUGCUUUCUUUUAUUCUGCUCAGGAAGAUUUGGUUUCAUUACAUAGGUCAAAGCUCUAAAAAUAAAUUCCUGUCAGAUUUCCCCCCCAGUUAACCUAAGUGACACAUGUGGGUGUCUUUGGAUGUCGCUGUAUUGAGGCAUGCAUGACAAAAUUUCAAGUCUGCUUUCUAGGAGACUGAAGUGGUUUUGGCAUGCUGAGAACACAUAUAGGAUAUAUAUUUCUUCAACAUUGGAAUACAGUAAUGCCUUUCACAAGGAUAUAUUUCAAAUUAAUUUUGGAAUAUGAAGCUUAUAUGAGCACUUAACUGUCAAAUACUUGUCACUCUGGGCACAUGAAACUAGGAGUUGGAAACCUGUUUUGGCUUUCUGUCAAACUAAUGACAGUUCAAUUGUCCACAUCUUAACAAAAUUUAAUUACUUAAGAUUUGUAAUAUUUAUGUGCUAUAAAAAGACACUAUUUAUUUUACUACAAAAAUGCACUGUUUGUUUUGACUGUACAUAUGUACAGUGAUGGGUUUAUCUAGCUAAAAGUAAUGAAAAUAAUUUUACAGAUAAACACAUUGAAUGUUUACUUUUCAAAUAUAAAUAUGUGAUUAGCAUGGACAGGAAAAUAGUCGGAAAUGUUAACCAGUGCUCCUUGGGUAUUGAGCACCUUGCCAGGACUGUGUAUUUCUGUAAUCGUUAGCUGAGCUGCAGAGCUGUGCCCACAGCUACACUGUGUGCCCCAGCAUUCCCAUAAGGGAAAAUGGGAUGACUUCAAGUUAUCCAUCUCAGUAGUUCUAAAUUCCAGUUUUACCGAUUGCUUGUGUCAGGGCUGGUUUUAUUUCCCGAUCACAAGGUGCUCCCUGCAGAGGGACCAGCCGGAGCCGAGGCUGCUCCCCGUGCCCGGGGCUGGCGCUCCCUGGAAGGUGCCGGGGGGCGGGAGCAGGAGGCGCCCCCCGCUCUGCCGGGAGCCUCCGGGAGCUCGGCUGGGGAUCUCUGCUGCCGGGGAAGGCUCCGGGAGCUCGGCUGGGGAUCUCUGCUGCUGGGGAAGGCUCCGAGCUCCAGCGGGGCCCGGCCGGUGCGGCUCCAGCACCAGGGACAGCGGGCGGGGAGCCGGAGCGGAGGGGCCGCGCCGAGCUGCUCGGAGCUGCUUUAACCACGGGGGUACAGCGGCCGUGAGGCUGCGGGGCUGGCGUGGGACAGAGCCACGGGAAGGGACAGCACGGGAAGGGACAGCACGGGAAGGGACAGCCCGGGAAGGGACAGCACGGGAAGGACAGCACGGGAAGUAUGCGGGGCUCCUGCCCUGCCUGCAGCCCGGACGCCUCUGUCACCCGUCACACGCACAGCGCACGCAAAGGGCAGCGCAGGACUCCGGGAUGCUCAGCCCUCGUUCCCUGAGAUGUGUCAGAUGUUGGGCACAAAGUAAGGUUCUGCUAUCCCUGAAUCAAAGCCGUAACAUCAGAGAGAGCGCUUAAAAAUCGCCAGCCAAGCCCUGCCCUCCCUGCCAGGGAUUUGGCUGAGGGCUGAUUGUGUGAUAGCUCAAAUCACUUAAGCAGCCUCUGCAAUAGCAACAUGCUCAUUUCCAUCAGUGAUGAAACCACUUCUCUGAUGUUGUCUUUCAAUAGUAUAAAUUUCUUAGCAUGAAAGAGAUCUCUUCCACGGCAAUAAAUACAUAAAUUAUAAGAAAUGCAUAAGGUCAGAAAUGAAAAAAAAAAAAAAAAAAAAGAAAAAAAAAAAAAAAAAACAUACCAGGAGAGUUCACAAUGCUUCUGAACUCUCAUUUCACAAAAUAAGACAGGAGUUAAUUAUUACUUGUGAUAGGGUUUCUUAUAUCCUGAACAUUAAAAGAUAUUAAUAGGAAAAGGUAUAAAUUUGUCAAAACAGUGCUAAUUAACAUCCUAUGAUUUCUCACCCUUUUAAUAGGUAAUUUGCUGUAGUGAGAGCAUUAAGGAUAAGUGAGAAUGAAGCUGCAAUAGUAUUUUCCUCAAAUUUCUCAUUUAUUCAUAGUGCAAGAAGUUUUAAAUUAAUCUUUUAAAUAUUUUUUUUUUAAUAUUUGAAGGGCAAAAUUCUCUGUUUCUUUAGUACCAGGAAAACAUUCGUUCAGCAUGAUCUGUAAUAUUUUUUACAUAAAGAUCCAUCUGACUAAAUAAUUACCACCUGCACUGUAAAUUUUUGGUCGUCGUACUUGACAUAUUGGUACUAAGCUAUUAGUCAGUCCAUUCUCUACUUUUGUGCUGAAAAAAAAGUAAUCUGUAUUGCUCUCCUGAUUUAAUCCAGAUAACUUCUAUGCAAGCAAUUUACAAACUUAGGUGCUGGCACAACCACAUCAAUCUAUAUUUGUCCUUCUGCAAGUCCUGUUUUUUUUCUGGUUUUAUAAUUUGCUUUCAAUAGCAAUGUUACAAAUAGAGUGAAAGUAACUUUUAAUAUUAUAUUUGUAACUGUUGUGUAAAUUUGUUUUAGUGAACAUUUUUAUGGGGAGUUUUAUUAGGUGAGGCUUAACCCCAGAUGUCUGUUGUUCUGGAAGGAUAUGAAAACACCUCCUUUUCUGCCCCCAUGACUUUAGAUUCGCUUUGCUCUGAGGAAGACAACAGCAAAAAUAGGGGAAGUACUGUAAUAUUUUAUGCUGACUUCCAUUUUGCAUGAAAGAAAAAUUCAGGAAUGGAAGAGCAGAAUUGUUGUAAUUGAGAUGUUCCCAGGUUUAUCAGAAAGUUCUGCUUGCUGCAUCUCACAUGGUGAAGUGAACUGUGUGCUGGUUGCUGCUGGUCAUGAGCUGCUGCUUCCGGCACUCUGUAAGGAAUAAAUGAUGGAGUGACAGCAGCAUGCUGGGAAUGCUGCUGCUGGGUGGAAUUCUGCUUCCUUUCCUGCCACUCUGAGAAAUGUUGAGGGCUGGGAGCAGAUUUGUUUAUAAAGAACUCCUUCUGAAUUAAAAAUUUGGAAGGAGUCUUAAGAUAAUGGACUUUAACAUCCUCCCCUGAGCACUAAUCAGAAAUCAUCCCAAUUAAAGGUGUGUGAAGUUGUGGGGCACACACACUGUGAUGCCUUGGAGAGAAAAUCUGUCAUUUGCUGCAUUUAGAUUCCCAAGUUGCUGGUUUGAUCCCUCAUAAGGAAGAAAUCCGUGAGAUGGCCCUGUGCAAUAGGACAAAAAAUAGAAUUUGUGUUUGUGCAUCAAAACCUGAGAGCUCCUGCUUAAAAGUUUUAGAAGAUGACUUCACCAAAGGAAGAAUAGUUCAGUUCCUGGGACACCAGAAUCCCUUUUGAGGCAUAAAGUAGAAACACUUGGUGCUUCAAAAGGACCUGUGAGGUCAUCACAGAUGAUGAUAGAGUGGAUUUGCUUUGCAUCUCUUUGUUUCUCCCUGCAAGGUGAGGAAUUCAUAAUUUAAUGGGAAAGUAAAGUUCAGUGGCUUAAUUAAUUGUAGCAACAGGGGAAAGAAACAAAAAUAGAAAGUCAGAACCUCAAGUGUAGAAAAGGAUGGAAUAUAAUCAAAUAAAUUGUCUGGUCUGUCACAGGGAGUUGAAAUUAAUCUCUGAUUUUUUAAAUUUUUUUUUUUUCUGAUGGCAAGGGUCCUGGGCCAUCCUACUGAAACUGAGGCUUGAAGUAAUAACAGAAGUUACCAGCAACCGUAGGCCUGAGAAUGGAGACAAAGGGCAAAAUGUGGGGAUGCACUUCCCUGAAAAAGAGGGCAGGAGGGUGAUAUGUUCUGUGGUACCUGAAGGCUGGGAUAACUGAGAGAAGGCUGCUUGCAGGGAGGUGUAAGAAUCUCUCUGCUUUCUGCACUCUGACCUUCCAUUGUCCCUUGCAGAGCAUUUGAAAGGAUUGUGCAGUUCCCUUGAUCUAUUUAAGAGAAAGAAACUGUGUCAAAUCUCUCCAAUCCCAAGCCAGCUGUCUUUCAGAUCACAUCUAUAUUAUGGCAAGACAGGACAAUAUAGGGUGAACUCUCUAAUGUAUUUUAAUUAACACUGUGUUAAACAUUGCUGCAUGCUCUGUUUGGAUAAGGACAACUGUGUUUGCAGUAGCAGAACCAUAAGCAACUCACAAUGCCUCUGACAGGACAACUCCUGAACACAGUGGACAUUGAGUAACUUUACACAGUGUUUUUCAGAGAUAAGUGCUUUUCUACUGACUUGACUUGUUCAUUUAAAUAAGGUCUUGAAGCUUGUAUUUGCCUUUAUUUCAGUACAGUGCAACACAAGACCUCAGUGACAGAACAGCACCUCAAAGACUUCUGCAAGGGAUGGCCCCUUUUCUCUGAAAACCAUUAAUUCUGGGAUCCACAAUGUCCACCAACAGAAGCUCUUCUUGUAGGAGCUCUGACAUUUACAUCAGAUUUUAAACUUUAGUUUGAUUGCUGAUGCCAAUUUUAAAAACUUCUUAACAAAACCAUACUAGAAGUAGGGUUUGGAUUCCAAUUUUGUGUAGUGUGUUCAAUGUGCAAACUUUAUAAAGGAAAACAAAAACAACUCUAGAAAAAAAGAAAAUAAAAAGAAAGAAAACCCUGGGGCAUAUAACCUUGAGAAUUCUUGGUUUUGCUUGCUACAGUACUUCUCUGCUUUCCCUGUGCUUUCACAGUAGUGUGAAUAUUGAAGCUGGCAGGAGUGAGCUCUGUUUAGAGAGAGAAGAGACAGCAGAAACAGUUGUUCUGCAGCAGUGGCUGUUUGCUUUGGUCUCUCCUUUGCACGUGGGUAAUCCUGAAUUCCAGCUUGGUGCCUGGGAGAUUUGUGGCUCUGCCUCCGUUGGAGGAUGAGAUGUUUGUUCCUUCUACACUUAAGCUAGGAGUGUUUACUAAAGCAAUCAGUAUUUCUGUGGAGGUGACAGGAGCCUCGUUAAAGGGGUGGAUGCAGAGAUCAGAGGAACAGGUGUAAAUAUAUUUGGUAACUUUAACUUAAACAAACUUGCAUUCCACUGACUCUACAGCUAAGUACAUUGACUUUUUUUCUUCCUGAAGUCAUGUGGGUCAUAUGGCCAUCUACUGACUCUCUCUGAAAAUAGGAAUCACCAGCAGCAGUGCAGAAAAGAGUCAGGAAUAAACAUGCAAUAAUAUGUGUUGUGUUUCAAAUACAGGUAAUCUGCCAUCAGUGUGAGUGUCCCUGCUAAUGCUGUCAUUUGUAUGCCCAUGACCAUACAUAUGGCCUUUAAAUAAAGUGCUUUCCGUAUGCUAUUAGGUCCUGGCAGGUCCUAUUCUGUCCAGCUGUUUUGGUGUCCUCCUCAGAGUUUGUCUAGCCUUAGAAGGGUCUUACUUCCCAAGUUCACCUUCAUUCUGAGUUUACUUUAAGGGAAGAGCCAACUCAGACAUGGUUUUAGUUUGGAAAAAAAAUAUGCUGUAUUUUUUUCUUAAGUAGGAAAAUAUCAGUUAAAGUACUGGUCAGCCUGGCAGCAAGAAGAAUCCUUGAAGGGCUGAGACUGUGGAAUAAAGAGCCUGGAAGAAUUAACCAAUUCCUAUCACUGCAGAGGUUUUCUGUUCCCAAAGUAUUUGGAAGAGAUGGAAAGGUAUUUAUCAUUGACAUAAACAGAGUUAAAAAACCAAAACCAGUUUGUCAAACCCUGGAGCAGCCUAUCUCCAACAGAUGCAACUCUAUGACUUUGUCAUGCUUUGUCCCUUCAAAAAGCUAUUUCUGCAUGCUGUAGGAGUGCCUCAGGAAGGGAAGGAACGGAGCUAUUGUAAAUACAAAUGCCUAAAUGUGAAUAUGAAUUAAGGUAGGAUAGAAUAAGCUGGUUUUUUAAAAUGAAUAAUGUACAAGCACACUCAGUUCUUGGCCACUUGCUGUUUGCUUUCCACACAGGAAAACAAAACCCGACAUCCCAAAGCCAAACCAAAACCCAAACAGAAACCUGGCCCUGCUUGGUGGGGAAACAGUAGUUGCACGUGUUAAAAAAAUAAAUAAUGAAGGUUUCCACAGCAACCCCAGUUCUGUAGUGCAAGUUGAUGACUUUCAUUCUGUUUUAUUAUAUAAUCAGAGAACAGAUAUUCUAUUAAAAGUGUUGAGUACAUCUGAAGUUAUAUUGUUAAAAAGUUUAGUGCAAUCCUAAAACUUCAAAUCAAGCAAGUUGUUUACAACGGUUUCUGAAAAGGCUGUAUAAAAAGGGUUUUGGCAGAGGCUCUGACCGGGGCAGGGGCACUGGUCCAUCAGAAUAUUGCAGGGAGUAAAAUUUCAGUUGCAGGAAAACUUUUGUAUAACUUAUUUUAGCUUUUCCUUUGCUGUGAAGAAUUCAAAUUCAGUUUUUAUGGAAGGAAUGGAAGCUGAACUUGGGAGAUGAAAUCUAAAGACUGUUUCCCGUUUUGGGUACGUGCUCAUUGCGGAAACCGUGCGAAUUUCACCAGCUCUUUAGAAGCUCUGGAGAUUAAUAAUACC